AAUCCCCCUUCCCCCAGGAGGCACUCUGGUUCUGUUACAUCCUAAGGGAUUGACUAAGGGAGGUGUGUCCAGCAGAAGGAGGGGCUAACCUGUUUAAAGCCCUGUGAAUAGCACAUUCUCUCUCUCUUUGAAUUACCUCUCUUCACCUUCUCUCUCCUCUCUCCCCUCUCCCCACUGUACACACCCUCUCUCUCUUACUCUCAGCUGCUGAUCAAUGGAGUGGUAACUGUAUCACGUGUCUAU